AAAUGAGGGAUUCAAUCAAAGAAACGUAUCCAAAUCUUUUAACAUAUGGGUGUUCUGCACAUUAUUUAAACCUUUUAGAAAAAGAAGUAACACACCCAGAUGUCAUCAAACAUGUGGUUGAAGUGCAGAAAUAUUUUCGUAAUACACAUUAACCGCAUGGAUGGUUGCGUGAGAAAGGAGGGCAUAUGCCUCAGUUACCAAACGAUACUUGAUGAAACUCCCAAAUUGACUGUAUAGAAACAUACAUAAAAAACUACCAAAUUUAUGUAGAAAUAGUAGAUAAUCAUGAUAUACCUAUCAAAAUCAGAAAAAUUAUUGAAAAUCGAGCAAUAUUUAGAGAAGCUAACAGUCUUCAAACCCAACUCAAAAUAUUUGGUGUUGUUUUAGAUCAAAUGCAAAGUGACAGCUGUCACCUAUCCGAAUGUGUUGAGUUGUGGCUCUCACUUUUGAAUAACCCUGAACUAAGUCAUUACCACACAGCUAUCAAAAAGAGAUGUAAUGAUGCUAUGACACCUAUCCAUUAUCUUGCGACCAAUCCUCGCUUUUUGGGUAAAAAUAAGUUUUGCUUAAAAAAAAAAUUGUUUUGAAAAA